UUAUCGCGAAAUUAUCGGAACUGUGGAAGUCGGAGACGAACGCCGGAGCUUCUACAGCUCCGGGCGACUGUAAAACAACCCCUAGACUCCGAUCUAGGUAUGAACAUGAAAUAGAAGAUGAGAGGAAUGUUUUUAUAACGUCCGUUUGCCGUGAAACGGCCGGAGGUGUUCGGAAAGUGCGACGACACCGACGGCCUUGCCGGAGAUGGGUGUGCCUAUCCCGAGUCGAUUUCAUCCCAAAAACCUUGCAAAAAGACGAGAUAUAACUUCAAUUUCACAUCUAAGCUUCGAUCUAGAACAUAAAAAGAAAAACCCAAAGCUUACCUAACCGGAGAAAUAGAAGGAACUCGCCGGAGCAGGUGCGAUGGUGUGCAUGUGGGUUCGACGAGGAGGGAGGAGCAGAGGAGAUGGGUGAUGAGACCUAAAAACCCUUAACCAAACCAUUAUUAAGUUGAGAAGCGUGAGAGUGCUUUGAACACUCUUUCGUGGCCUUCCACCGUGGUAGGCUCCAAUCGUUUGUGACUCGUACACCGGCUUCACCCUAUCAUGGGGGAGUACAAAGUGCGUGCUUACACUCAGGAGGAGUCUAUAUGCAUACUUGAUGUUGUGAAAGGUAGGCAACGAGAAUAGCCAACAUCAUCUCAUUGUGAGGUUGUUCUUGAACCCCUACCCGAACUUGCAUGGUGGGAAAUGACUUAACUAAGUGCAAUAGAGCCAACAUCAUAUCAUUGUGAGGCUACAUUCUCUAGAGGCCAAAUAAGAUGGGUACUUGCAAGCAUGGAAGAAAAUAUCGAUAAUAUCGGCGAUAUAUCACCGAUAUUAUCGAAUUUUCGUUAACCCGAUAUUCUAAGUGGUAUCCAAGGGGUUUUCGUCAUAAUUUCGCGAUAAUAUCGAUAAUAUCGAUAAUAUCGCGAUAUUAUCGAUAUUAUCGCGAAAUUAUCGGAACUGUGGAAGUCGGAGACGAACGCCGGAGCUUCUACAGCUCCGGGCGACUGUAAAACAACCCCUAGACUCCGAUCUAGGUAUGAACAUGAAAUAGAAGAUGAGAGGAAUGUUUUUUAUAACGUCCGUUUGCCGUGAAACGGCCGGAGGUGUUCGGAAAGUGCGACGACACCGACGGCCUUGCCGGAGAUGGGUGUGCCUAUCCCGAGUCGAUUUCAUCCCAAAAACCUUGCAAAAAGACGAGAUAUAACUUCAAUUUCACAUCUAAGCUUCGAUCUAGAACAUAAAAAGAAAAACCCAAAGCUUACCUAACCGGAGAAAUAGAAGGAACUCGCCGGAGCAGGUGCGAUGGUGUGCAUGUGGGUUCGACGAGGAGGGAGGAGCAGAGGAGAUGGGUGAUGAGACCUAAAAACCCUUAACCAAACCAUUAUUAAGUUGAGAAGCGUGAGAGUGCUUUGAACACUCUUUCGUGGCCUUCCCACCGUGGUAGGCUCCAAUCGUUUGUGACUCGUACACCGGCUUCACCCUAUCAUGGGGGAGUACAAAGUGCGUGCUUACACUCAGGAGGAGUCUAUAUGGAUACUUGAUGUUGUGAAAGGUAGGCAACGAGAAUAGCCAACAUCAUCUCAUUGUGAGGUUGUUCUUGAACCCCUACCCGAACUUGCAUGGUGGGAAUGACUUAACUAAGUGCAAUAGAGCCAACAUCAUAUCAUUGUGAGGCUACAUUCUCUAGAGGCCAAAUAAGAUGGGUACUUGCAAGCAUGGAAGAAAAUAUCGAUAAUAUCGGCGAUAUAUCACCGAUAUUAUCGAAUUUUCGUUAACCCGAUAUUCUAAGUGGUAUCCAAGGGGUUUUUCGUCAUAAUUUCGCGAUAAUAUCGAUAAUAUCGAUAAUAUCGCGAUAUUAUCGAUAUUAUCGCGAAAUUAUCGGAACUGUGGAAGUCGGAGACGAACGCCGGAGCUUCUACAGCUCCGGGCGACUGUAAAACAACCCCUAGACUCCGAUCUAGGUAUGAACAUGAAAUAGAAGAUGAGAGGAAUGUUUUUAUAACGUCCGUUUGCCGUGAAACGGCCGGAGGUGUUCGGAAAGUGCGACGACACCGACGGCCUUGCCGGAGAUGGGUGUGCCUAUCCCGAGUCGAU
rnacentral:lncRNA from 1 species